rnacentral:tRNA from 1 species
GGAGAGGUGUCCGAGUGGUCGAAGGUGAUUGACUCGAAAUCAUUCGUGCGGCAACGCACCGUGGGUUCGAAUCCCACCCUCUCCGCCA